rnacentral:rRNA from 1 species
GAUGAACGCUAGCGGCAGGCUUAACACAUGCAAGUCGAGGGGUAGAGGCUUUCGGGCCUUGAGACCGGCGCACGGGUGCGUAACGCGUAUGCAAUCUGCCUUGUACUGGGGGAUAGCCCAGAGAAAUUUGGAUUAAUACCCCAUAGUAUUCUCGGUUGGCAUCAACUGAUUAUUAAAGUUUUUCGGUACAAGAUGAGCAUGCGUCCCAUUAGCUAGUUGGUAUGGUAACGGCAUACCAAGGCUACGAUGGGUAGGGGUCCUGAGAGGGAGAUCCCGCACACUGGUAGGGAGACACGGACGAGACUCCUACGGGAGGCAGCAGUGAGGAAUAUUGGUCAAUGGUCGCAAGACUGAACAAGCCAUGCAGCGUGCAGGAUGAAGCAGCUAUGGUGUGUAAACUGCUUUUGUACGGGAAGAAGCACUGCUACGUGUAGCAGCUUGACGGUACCGAAAGAAUAAGGAGCGGCUAACUCCGUGGCAGCCGCCGCGGUAAAAC